rnacentral:rRNA from 1 species
GAUGAACGCUGGCGGCGUGCUUAACACAUGCAAGUCGAACGAUGAAGCCCCUGCUUGCAGGGGUGGAUUAGUGGCGAACGGGUGAGUAACACGUGAGCAACCUGCCCCUGACUCUGGGAUAAGCGCUGGAAACGGUGUCUAAUACUGGAUAUGUGCCACGGCCGCCUGGUCUGUGGUUGGAAAGAUUUUUCGGUUGGGGAUGGGCUCGCGGCCAAUCAGCUUGGUGGUGAGGUAAUGGCUCACCAAGGCGUUGACGGGUAGCCGGCCUGAGAGGGGGACCGGCCACACUGGGACUGAGACACGGCCCAGACUCCUACGGGAGGCAGCAGUGGGGAAUCUUGCGCAAUGGGCGAAAGCCUGACGCAGCGACGCCGCGUGAGGGAAGAAGGCCUUCGGGUUGUAAACCUCUUUCAGGUGGGACGAAGCCACUCGGGUGGAUAGCCCAGAGGGUGACGGUACCUCCAGAAGAAGCCCCGGCUAACUAC